rnacentral:other from 1 species
UAUUCCCUGCGGCGUACGAAGCCCACUGGGUUACUUCUUGAGCCUAAUCCAAAACCCCGGGUCCAUUAGAGUUCGCGAUGUGCGCAAGUCCGCCCCGAGCGGAAAGCCUGAUUCGGUACUUCUUGGUCCCACCUGAACCAUUUGGUUCAAGGGCGAAAGUGAGUUACGGCGCAGGCGGGGAAUAC